rnacentral:rRNA from 1 species
CCUACGGGUGGCAGCAGUGAGGAAUAUUGGUCAAUGGACGCAAGUCUGAACCAGCCAUGCCGCGUGCAGGAAGACGGCUCUAUGAGUUGUAAACUGCUUUUGUACGAGGGAAAAUGAAGAUACGCGUAUAUGUAUGCAAGUAUCGCACGAAUAAGGAUCGGCUAACUCCGUGACAGCAGCCACGGUAAUACGGAGGAUGCAAGUGUGAUCCGUAUUUAAUGGGUUUAAAGUGUGCGUAGACGGUAGGAUAAGUUAGAGGUGAAAUCCGGAGGCUCAACUUUUGAAUUGUCUUGGAUACUGUUCGGCUGGAGAGUAGUUGAGGUAGGCGGAAUGUAUGGUGUAGCGGUGAAAUGCUUAGAGAUCAGACAGAACACCGAUUGCGAAGGCAGCUUACCAAGCUAUUACUGACGUUGAGACUCGAAAGCGUGGGGAGCAAACAGGAUUAGAUACCCCUGUAGUC